AUUGAACGCUAGCGGCAGGCUUAACACAUGCAAGUCGAACGAGUGGCGGACGGGUGAGUAAUAUCUGGGAAAGUGCCUAGUAGCGGGGGAUAACUACUGGAAAGGGUGGCUAAUACCGCAUACCAUCAGAUGUGCCGAGAUGGGAUUAGCUAGUUGGUGGGGUAAAGGCUCACCAAGGCGACGAUCCCUAGCUGGUCUGAGAGGAUGACCAGCCACACUGGAACUGAGACACGGUCCAGACUCCUACGGGAGGCAGCAGUGGGGAAUAUUGCACAAUGGGCGCAACCCUGAUGCAGCCAUCCCGCGUGUAUGAAGAAGGCCUUCGGGUUGUAAAGUACUUUCAGCGGGGAGGCGUUAUCCGCAGAAGAAGCACCGGCUAACUACGUGCCAGCCGCCGCGGUAAUAC
rnacentral:rRNA from 1 species